rnacentral:rRNA from 1 species
UACGUAGGGCGCAAGCGUUGUCCGGAAUUAUUGGGCGUAAAGAGCUCGUAGGCGGCCAGCUGCGUCCGCUGUGAAAUCCCGGGGCUUAACCCCGGGCGUGCAGUGGAUACGGGCUGGCUGGAGGCAGGCAGGGGAGAACGGAAUUCCUGGUGUAGCGGUGAAAUGCGCAGAUAUCAGGAGGAACACCGGUGGCGAAGGCGGUUCUCUGGGCCUGUACUGACGCUGAGGAGCGAAAGCGUGGGGAGCGAACAGG